GACAGACAUUUAAUCAGUGACAUACACUCUGUAGACGGGACAGAGACAACCGGCUUUUACAAUGAUCUCUCCUGGUUAUUCGGUUGUUUUUCUCAUACUGUCAAUCAACUGGGCAGGUUCUGAGGGUCAAACUCUAACUGAGUCUGAAGCAGUGGUUAAAAGGCCUGGAGAAUCCCACAGACUGACCUACACAUAUUCAGGCUUCAGUAGCCAUCACUGGAACGCUUGGAUCAGACAGGCUGCUGGAAAAGGACUGGAGUGGGUCGCUACUAUCAGUGAUACCAGUAGCAGCAUCUACUACUCCCAGUCAGUUCAGGGCCGGUUCCUCAUCUCCAGAGACAACAGCAGACGCCAGGUGUAUCUGCAGAUGAACAGCCUGACGACUGAAGACUCUGCUGUUUAUUACUGUGCUCGAGAGCCACAGUGAUACAGGAAGCCACAGAGCCGUACACAAACCACCACAGAUGUCACUGCACCAGUCACUAUAGAUAUACACCGAUCAGCCAUAACAUUAUGACCACCUGACUAAUAUUCAGUAGGUCCCCCUUUUGCUGCCAAACCAGCCCUGACCCGUGG